GUGGUUUUGGAUCUAUAUUAGUCUUCCGAAAAUUCCUUUAGAUUGCUUGAAAUGUGAUUUAAUGUGGAGAUGAUGAUGAUCCUUGGGGAAAAGGAAGCUGGGAGGGAUUGAAAAAACUUUGUUAAGAUACCCUUUUAAUUCCAAAGAUUUUAUAAGAAUUUAUGAAGAUGUUUCUCUUUGUUUUCCAGCUGACAGUAUAUUGACUUGUUAUACCUUUUGGUUCAUUUUUGAUUUAUUUUUCACUAUGUUGCGUCUUUUUGGUCAAUUUAUUAAAAUUCGGACACCACAUGUUAGUUUUUUGCUCAUUAACUUUGACUGACAGGUAAAACCUAGAACGACCUUUGCGGAUUAUCACCGCUUGCUUGCCCCUGGAGGAAGAUAUGAAGGUAUUU
rnacentral:lncRNA from 1 species